rnacentral:rRNA from 1 species
AGAGUUUGAUCAUGGCUCAGGAUGAACGCUGGCGGCGUGCCUAACACAUGCAAGUCGAGCGAUUUACUUCGGUAAAGAGCGGCGGACGGGUGAGUAACGCGUGGGUAACCUGCCCUGUACACACGGAUAACAUACCGAAAGGUAUGCUAAUACGAGAUAAUAUGUUUUUAUCGCAUGGUAGAAGUAUCAAAGCUUUUGCGGUACAGGAUGGACCCGCGUCUGAUUAGCUAGUUGGUAAGGUAACGGCUUACCAAGGCUACGAUCAGUAGCCGACCUGAGAGGGUGAUCGGCCACAUUGGAACUGAGACACGGUCUAAACUCCUACGGGAGGCAGCAGUGGGGAAUGUUGCACAAUGGGCGAAAGCCUGAUGCAGCAACGCCGCGUGAGCGAUGAAGGCCUUCGGGUCGUAAAGCUCUGUCCUCAAGGAAGAUAAUGACGGUACUUGAGGAGGAAGCCCCGGCUAACUACGUGCCAGCAGCCGCGGUAAUACGUAGGGGGCUAGCGUUACCCGGAAUUACUGGGCGUAAAGGGUGCGUAGGUGGUUUCUUAAGUCAGAGGUGAAAGGCUACGGCUCAACCGUAGUAAGCCUUUGAAACUGGGAAACUUGAGUGCAGGAGAGGAGAGUGGAAUUCCUAGUGUAGCGGCGAAAUGCGUAGAUAUUAGGAGGAACACCGGUUGCGAAGGCGGCUCUCUGGACUGUAACUGACACUGAGGCACGAAAGCGUGGGGAGCAAACAGGAUUAGAUACCCCGGUAGUCC